rnacentral:sRNA from 1 species
GUACAUUAGUGAAGGAUGAUGGUUCUCCAUGUCCCCGAGCCCAUCAAGCUUCAGGAUCCAUGUCAAUGGAUGCCACCGUCGGCACAUUUUAAAAUAAGGGUGACUCUGAGGGCUCAUCAUCAUCAUCAAGUGCCCAGCACUUAGGACAGCCUAAGCCAGGUGGCUGAGUGCUUUACCUGCUUCCUCCCACAUAAUCCUCACGGCUCCUCUGAGAGGCUUAUCCCCACUUUACAGGUGAGAAUACAAGCUCAGAGAGGUUGAGCCCCUUGCCCCCAGAUCAGCAUGUAGAUCUUGCAGGGGUGGCCUGGCCUAAAAGCCAGCUGCUCUGUAGCCUUUGGACCAGCAGCCAUUCCUCCUUCCAGCCUCUGCAAGUCGUGGUCAGUGGCCCCCAGGGCCCCACAUGGCCCCACACACACAUGGGACGGAGUACUAAAGUGGUCACAAGCUUUACCCCCAAGAGACACAGCACACUGAAGAUUUGGUAGCAAGCAGCCGUGGGAGAGCCGUGGGGCACAUUUACACGUCCAAAGUGGUUUACCAUAAGACAGCCAGAGCCUCUAUUCUGCCUCAUGCAUCACCUUUAAAGUCAUCAGCAGAGUUCUGAUUCCCCAACCAUACACGUUGGAGGUUGUUUCUGAACAAAGCAAAAAUAAGCCCAGCUCAACUUUGAGGUUGGUUGGAGCUGUCACUACAGUGCAGAAAAUGAGCUGUUCAGAAUUACAAACCAAGAAAUGGUAUAUGGAGCUUAUUGGUGGAGAAUAGGGGGCGGGGAGCUCAUGAAAAUCUGAAUUUGCAGUCACUUUUCUAAACCUUCCUCUCCUUCUGAGCAUGUAUGUCACCUUUCUAGGUCUCUAUCUUGAGACAUCGGGAUUUGGAUGGUUAAUUGCCCUUGAUAAGUUUAUGGUAGUUAUACAUGCAAAUCCCUAUGCACAGGGGUGAAAUGUGGCCCGUGAAGCCUCUUUUUGUUUUGUAAUUUUUAUUUUAAGUAAAUAACCAAGACAGCAUUUCAUAGUGUUACUAAUAUGCUGCUCUAUUAAACUCAUAACAAAUAUAUUAUUUUCUGCAGCCUAGAGUAUCAGUUCAUUUAACUGACACUAAUUUUGAGCCUUAGUUGCUUUGCAAAACCUUGCUUUUUGCUGGUUUGAGACUCCUGUGUUAUAUGCUGAGACCUCGGCGCCUUCUGCGCCGUGCCGCCCACCCGCCCCACUCUGCCCCUACCCCUGCCCCAGCCAGAAGCAAGUGUUUAGGCUCUUGGUCUAAUGUGCUGAUUCGGGAGAGCUCUGUCUGGUCUCUCCGUUUAGAUGAUGAGGUAACCGUGGGGAAGUUCUAUGCCACUUUCCUGAUACAGGACUACUUUAGGAAAUUCAAGAAACGGAAAGAACAAGGACUGGUGGGAAAGUACCCUGCGAAGAACACCACAAUUGCCCUACAGGCGGGAUUAAGGACACUGCAUGACAUUGGGCCAGAAAUCCGGCGUGCUAUAUCGUGUGAUUUGCAAGAUGACGAGCCUGAGGAAACAAAACGAGAA